GGAAUGGCAAGUACGACAAGUUCUAUCAGCUGUUAGAAGAAAUUGCCAAUUGGACCAAUUUAAGACCGCACGUGACACAACGAACCGACUGGGCUUUUGGAAGCUUGGAGAACGGCAACUGGACAGGAAUGGUUGGAGAGUUAAACAGCAAGGAAAAAGACUUGGCCAUUGGACCUCUGGAAUGGACAGAAGACAGAGAAAAGGCCAUUGAUUUUACUUACAUAUUCCACGUGAGCUCGCUAACCUUUAUAACUCGUGCUCCGUACUCUUCUGUCGAUGCUGGGGUAAU